rnacentral:piRNA from 1 species
UGACAUUUUCAUACGUGUGUCUAGUGUUCC